AUAGAUUUGUCUGGUUAAUUCCGUUAACGAACCAGACCACAGCCUACUAAAUAUUACGUGUUAUGGUAACAUAGUAUGAUACUUCUUAGAGGGACAUUUCGGGUUUAACGAAAGGAAGUUUGUGGCAAUAACAGGUCUGUGAUGCCCUUAGAUGUUCUGGGCCGCACGCGCGCUACACUGACGACUUCAACAAGUUUUUUGGCAUUGCCAAAUUUCCUUGGCCGGAAGGUCUGGGUAAUCUUUUAAAAGGUCGUCGUGACGGGGCUAGAUUCUUGCAACUAUUAAUCUCCAACGAGGAACC
rnacentral:rRNA from 1 species